UACGUAGGGAGCAAGCGUUGUCCGGAAUCAUUGGGCGUAAAGAGCGCGUAGGCGGUCCGGUAAGUCCGCUCUGAAAGUCCGGGGCUCAACCCCGGGAGGCGGGCGGAUACUGUCGGGCUAGAGUCCGGAAGAGGCGAGUGGAAUUCCUGGUGUAGCGGUGAAAUGCGCAGAUAUCGGAAGGAACACCAGUGGCGAAAGCGGCUUCCUGGUCCAGCAUCGACGUUCAGGCACGAAAGCGUGGGGAGCAAACAGG
rnacentral:rRNA from 1 species